GAUGAACGCUGGCGGCGUGCCUAAUACAUGCAAGUCGAACGAAACUUCUUUAUCACCGAGUGCUUGCACUCACCGAUAAAGAGUUGAGUGGCGAACGGGUGAGUAACACGUGGGCAACCUGCCCAAAAGAGGGGGAUAACACUUGGAAACAGGUGCUAAUACCGCAUAACCAUAGUUACCGCAUGGUAACUAUGUAAAAGGUGGCUAUACUACCGCUUUUGGAUGGGCCCGCGGCGCAUUAGCUAGUUGGUAGGGUAAAGGCUUACCAAGGCAAUGAGGCGUAGCCGAAUUGAGAGGUUGAUCGGCCACAUUGGGACUGAGACACGGCCCAAACUCCUACGGGAGGCAGCAGUAGGGAAUCUUCCACAAUGGGCGAAAGCCUGAUGGAGCAACGCCGCGUGGGUGAAGAAGGUCUUCGGAUCGUAAAACCCUGUUGUUAGAGAAGAAAGUGCGUGAGAGUAACUGUUCACGUUUCGACGGUAUCUAACCAGAAAACCACGGCUAACUACGU
rnacentral:rRNA from 1 species